ACGCACGCUGGCGGCGUGCUUCACCCAUGCCGGUCGAACGGUGAAGCGCCUUCCUUUUUGGUGGGUGUGGAUGAGUGGCGAACGGGUGAGUAACACGUGAGUAACCUGCCCCCUUCUUCUGGAUAACCGCAUGAAAGUGUGGCUAAUACGGGAUAUUCUGGGUCUGUCGCAUGAUGGGUCUGGGAAAGAUAUUGUUUCGGUGGGGGAUGGGCUCGCGGCCUAUCAGCUUGUUGGUGGGGUGAUGGCCUACCAAGGCGGUGACGGGUAGCCGGCCUGAGAGGGUGGACGGUCACACUGGGACUGAGACACGGCCCAGACUCCUACGGGAGGCAGCAGUGGGGAAUAUUGCACAAUGGGCGCAAGCCUGAUGCAGCGACGCCGCGUGAGGGAUGGAGGCCUUCGGGUUGUGAACCUCUUUCGCCAGUGAAGCAGGCCUGCCUCGUUUGUGGGUGGGUUGACGGUAGCUGGAUAAGAAGCGCCGGCUAACUACGUG
rnacentral:rRNA from 1 species